GUUAUCUGGAUUAUAAUAUUGGUGAUUUCUUUUUAUUUAGCAUCUUCUGUGAACACAUGUAUUAAUUACACUUCAAUUGCAGCCCCAUGUGUAUCACACUUCAAUUUCGAUUCUCCUUCUUUCUUCAGCCUAUGAUUCUCUCUUUUCAAGCUGUAUUGCAGCUACGUUUAAGCAAGGAAAAAAAAUAGGGCUUUACUUAUAAAAGAUAAUCCUGUGGUUGGUAUAAUGACUUUGACAUUUGGUUGGCUUUGGAAGAGAAACUCCCACAUUACAUCGUUCUUUGAAAGGUCGCGAGGAGAUCUGAGAGGGCUGUAAUGGAUAUUGUUUUAAAGAUUUUUCCUCUUCUGCUAAGUUCUUCAACACAACUGAUCAAAAUUUUCGAAGGUAUGAAAAUUCAUUUGAUAUGGGUGAUGCUGCAUCUGGGAUCAAGUCAGAAAUCGUUGAUAGCAGAUGCAUCAGAUGUUGUAUUAUUGUUAUACUAUCUAUAUGAUCUAUAUAUCUCAACUCUCUAAAGCCUCAACUUUUCAGUUACAUAAAUUACAUACAUGAAUAAGGUGUAUUUAAGAUUAAGCCUUAUAACUUUCACAUGCAAAUCUUUAUUUAGACAUUACAUAUGUAAUAUAAAAAUAGUUCUAAGUGAUUUUGAGAUCUAAACAUCGCUUCUUAUGUUAUGCCUAAUGAUGAUUAGUUCGCGCACAAUUUAUUUAACCAUUCCCUUAUUGUGUCUAUUUAUUUUCUAGAAAAGAAGAAAGUGUCAUAUUUUUGUAGAAAAAUUAUGAUGUUUCAUAAAUUAGAAAAUCUCAGUUGAAUUAUGGAAUCUCAGUUAAUUUAAAACAUUUUAGAGGUUAGAAAAGGUGCAUGUAUUAUGCAUUCAUCCUUCAAAAGAUAUUUUUCCCCCAUAAACCUAUAUGACACG